AUUGAACGCUGGCGGCAUGCCUUACACAUGCAAGUCGAACGGUAACGGGCCUUCGGGUGCCGACGAGUGGCGAACGGGUGAGUAAUACAUCGGAACGUGCCCGAUCGUGGGGGAUAACGAGGCGAAAGCUUUGCUAAUACCGCAUACGAUCUACGGAUGAAAGCAGGGGACCGCAAGGCCUUGCGCGGACGGAGCGGCCGAUGGCAGAUUAGGUAGUUGGUGGGAUAAAAGCUUACCAAGCCGACGAUCUGGAGCUGGUCUGAGAGGAUGAUCAGCCACACUGGGACUGAGACACGGCCCAGACUCCUACGGGAGGCAGCAGUGGGGAAUUUUGGACAAUGGGCGCAAGCCUGAUCCAGCCAUGCCGCGUGCAGGAUGAAGGCCUUCGGGUUGUAAACUGCUUUUGUACGGAACGAAAAGCCUUCUUUUAAUACAGGAGGGUCAUGACGGUACCGUAAGAAUAAGCACCGGCUAACUACGUG
rnacentral:rRNA from 1 species